rnacentral:rRNA from 1 species
AUUGAACGCUGGCGGCAUGCUUUACACAUGCAAGUCGAACGGCAGCGCGGGCUUCGGCCUGGCGGCGAGUGGCGAACGGGUGAGUAAUGCAUCGGAACGUGCCCAGUAGUGGGGGAUAGCCCGGCGAAAGCCGGAUUAAUACCGCAUACGACCUGAGGGUGAAAGCGGGGGACCGAAAGGCCUCGCGCUAUUGGAGCGGCCGAUGUCGGAUUAGCUAGUUGGUGGGGUAAAGGCUUACCAAGGCGACGAUCCGUAGCUGGUCUGAGAGGACGACCAGCCACACUGGGACUGAGACACGGCCCAGACUCCUACGGGAGGCGGCAGUGGGGAAUUUUGGACAAUGGGGGCAACCCUGAUCCAGCCAUGCCGCGUGCGAGUAGAAGGCCUUCGGGUUGUAAACCGCUUUUGUUCGGGAAGAAAUCCUCUGGGCUAAUACCCCGGGGGGAUGACGGUACCGGAAGAAUAAGCACCGGCUAACUACGUG